rnacentral:rRNA from 1 species
UACGUAGGGUGCAAGCGUUAAUCGGAAUUACUGGGCGUAAAGCGCGCGCAGGCGGUUUUGUAAGUCUGACGUGAAAUCCCCGGGCUCAACCUGGGAAUUGCGUUGGAGACUGCAAGGCUGGAGUCUGGCAGAGGGGGGUAGAAUUCCACGUGUAGCAGUGAAAUGCGUAGAGAUGUGGAGGAACACCGAUGGCGAAGGCAGCCCCCUGGGUCAAGACUGACGCUCAUGCACGAAAGCGUGGGGAGCAAACAGG